AUUUAGAGGAGGUCUUGGGCUCCUUUGGCAUCGGGGGCACCUUUACAGAUUAUACCAUAGCUCUAUAUGGGGACUUGCAAACCAAAGUAUCAGGUUUUAUGUUUCAAUCCGACUGGUUCCCAAUCCAGAACGGGACUUGGCAGGGCUGCCCAUUAGCCCCGUUACUGUAUGUUCUUUCCAUUGAACCCCUUGCAUUAUCCAUCAGACAGAAUGCAGACAUGAAAGGUAUAACUGUUAACACAUCUGAGAUCAAGAGUACACUUUAUGCCGAUGAUGUGCUCUUGUCCCUCACAGACCCUACUAGUUCACUACCGGAAGUGUUUCAUCUGCUUGAGGAGUUUGGUAAACUUUCCGGGUACAAAGUAAAUAUAAAAAAGACACAAAUCUUGGCUAAAGCUUGAGCGGACCUAGGAUGGAUUUCCUUAAAGGGGAAAUAUAAGCUAGAUAGGGAGGCGAAAAGCAUACAUUAUCUGGGUGUACGAUUAUCUCUGGAUUGCACAGAAAUCAAUAGGCUCAACUACU